GACAGAGGUGCAAACGUUGUUCGGAAUUACUGGCGUAAAGCGUGUGUAGGCGGCCGCGUAAGUCGGAUGUGAAAGCCCUGGGCUCAACCCACGGAAGUGCACUCGAUACUGCGUGGACUCGAGUACUGGAGAGGUUGGUGGGAAUUCUCGGUGUAGAGGUGAAAUUCGUAGAUAUCGAGAGGAACACCGGUGGCGAAGGCGGCCAACUGGACAGAUACUGACGCUGAGACACGAAAGCGUGGGGAGCAAACAGG
rnacentral:rRNA from 1 species